CUACGGGACGCUGCAGACGAGAAUCUUCCUCAAUGCCCGAAAGGGUGAAGGAGCGACGCCGCGUGCAGGAAGACGCCCCUCGGGGUGUAAACUGCUUUUGUAAGGGAAGAAAAUUUAUUUGACGGUACCUUACGAAUAAGGACCUCCUAAUUUCGUGCCAGCAGGAGCGGUAAUACGAAAGGUCCAAGCGUUAUCCGGUUUUAUUGGGUGUAAAGCGUCCGCAGACGGUUAAGCAAGUUUUUGGUCAAAUCCCGGGGCCCAACCCCGGAACUGCCAAAAAAACUAUUUAACUAGAGGGUGGGAGAGGUCAGCGGAAUGGCUGGUGUAGGAGUCAAAUCCGUUAAUAUCAGCUGGAACACCAAAGGCGAAAGCAGCUGACUGGAACACCCCUGACGUUCAGGGACGAAAGCGUGGGUAGCGAAAGGGAUUAGAUACCCCCGUAGUC
rnacentral:rRNA from 1 species